rnacentral:rRNA from 1 species
AUGGAGAUUCAAGACACUGAGCAUUGUGGAAUCGAGGUCGAUAGCAAGAUAAAAUGUUUCCAUGGGGAUGAUCCAACUAAAAAGGUUGCUUUUGAGGGUGUGGGCACAGGAAGAAGAUUCAUCGCUUGUAAGAAUGCAAAACCUUGUAAUUUCCGAAUUUGGUAUGAGCCGGAGUGGACUGCAACUUUGAAGCGAACACUACAACAGUUGUGGGGCAUGGUUCAGACAAAUCAGGAAAAAAGGAGGAGACUGAGGCCCUUGUCAACCAAUUGA